rnacentral:rRNA from 1 species
UACGUACCCCUCAAGUGGUAUCCACUAAUAUUGGGCUUAAAGCGUUUGUAGCCGGUUUUGUAAGUCCUUUGUGAAAGCGAACAGCUUAACUGUCCGAAUUGCAAAGGAAACUGCAAGGCUCGAGAUCGGUAGACGUCAAGGGAAUUUCCGGGGUAACGGUGAAAUGUUGUGAUCCCGGAAAGACCACCAGUAGCGAAGGCGCUUGACGAGGACGAAUCUGACGGUGAGAGACGAAAGUUGGGGGA